AUGGACUCCGGGCUGGGCUGGGUUUUCCUUAUUGCUAUUUUAGAAGGUGUCCGGUGUGAAAUACAGCUGGUGGAGUCUGGGGGAGACGUGAGGCAGCCUGGAGGGUCUCUGAGUCUUUGGUGUAAGGGCUCUGGAUUCAUUUUCAGCAGUUAUGACAUGGAUUGGGUCCGCCAUCCUCCAGGCAAGGGGUUAGAGUGGGUCUCAGGUAUUACUCCUGGUGGGGGCGCUUACUACUCAGACUCUGUGAGGGGCCGAUUCACCAUCUCCAGAGACAAUGCCAAGAACACGUUGUAUCUGCAUAUGGACAACCUGAAACCAGAGGACACUGCCCUGUAUUACUGUGUGAAAGACACAGUGAGAGGAAGUCAUUCUUACUGCUAA